GUCUCGACAACACAUCUCUUGGAAUUCUAGCUCACCUUUCUGGUGUUGUUCUUGUACUCAUCUGUUUAAUCUAGUUCUGUCACUUCUUCUUGAACUUCUUGUUAGAUUUCAAGUCUGUAUUUUGUGUCCGUGACAUAGAGCCUUAGGUGCAUCUUUAAGAUUGAUAAGACCUAAGUCUUUUUUUUUUCUUAGAUUUACAAUAUAUAACCUAAAAAAUUUUGGAACGAAUACAAAAGAAAUUUGAACCAUUUGGACUACUUACAUUCUUUUACUUUAACUAUUAGAAUAGAGUUGCUUAUGUACUAUAACAUAUAAUUUUUUGAUUUAAACUUAAAUAAAUUUCAAC
rnacentral:lncRNA from 1 species